rnacentral:rRNA from 1 species
UACGUAGGGGGCAAGCGUUGUCCGGAAUCAUUGGGCGUAAAGCGCGCGUAGGCGGUUACUUAAGUCGGAUGUGAAAGCCCUCGGCUUAACUGAGGAAGUGCAUCCGAAACUGAGUAGCUAGAGUACGAAAGAGGGUCGCGGAAUUCCCGGUGUAGAGGUGAAAUUCGUAGAUAUCGGGAGGAACACCGGUGGCGAAGGCGGCGACCUGGGUCGAGACUGACGCUGAUGCGCGAAAGCGUGGGGAGCAAACAGGG